UUCAAUCCAGACCAGUUUUUCU
rnacentral:miRNA from 1 species